rnacentral:snRNA from 1 species
GUAAUUGCCUUGAGUGGCCUUUUUAAGUAAAAAAUAAAUAAACGUUUGGAAAAAAAAAGGUUCACCCAAGGCGAGGCUUGUCCAUUGCACUCCGGCCAUGCUGACCCCUGCGAAUUCCCCAAAUGCGGGAAUCUCGACUGCAUAAUUUAUGGUAGUGGGGGACUGCGUUUGCGCUCUCCCCUG